GUUCAGUUAGGUUUAUUUUGAUGGCUGGUUUUUUUGACGGGUGCUGUGUUCACCCGUGCGUUAUCUUUACCGUUUUGGUCAAGUGUAAUUGUUACCUUGUGCCUUGUUGAGGAAAGUACGUUGCUCACUCAUUCUGCUUUCCUGCGUCUGACUUCAUGCACCAGCUACACUCACCUUCUGACAUGCAUGCUGUUCACGUGUGUAUGAUCAAACUUAAUGAUCUUCCUUUUCAAAAGGAUGACAAGAUAAAGCAUAUUAAUGUUAUGCAUUUGUGUUCCUCCCUUCAUUGAGUUGAUAGACGGUAAGGCUCAUCUGGUGUGUAUUUGCGAAAAACCACAAGGGAAAUGACAGGCAAAUUGUGAGACUUAGCAAAGCUUGGAGUUAUUGCAUUGUUAAAACGGUCCCUAAAUCCAUCAUUUUUUUUGUGGUACCAUCCUCUCAUUAUGGACAAACUGCCCAUCUAUCAGUAUUCUGACCACCUACAUUCUGACCUCCUUUCAGACAACAUUCUGGAGAUAACUGCAAUAAUGUCUCUUGCUCAGGAUGUGCUGAUGCACAAGUCCCAUAGAGCAGUGCUGGUUAGAGAGGCAGAGAUGAGCUGGAAACCAUGGCAACUCAGUGCUUCACUUCUCCAUUCCCCAAGCCCUGCUGGAGAGGAGACGAAUACCUGCGCAGGCCUAAUCCCAUUCAACACCUGCAUACAAAGAAGGCCUCCGUUUCGGCAUGAUAUGAAAAUACACAGGGGAUUGACAAGAUACAUUUUUGAUGGACUGCUGUUUUCCUGUAAUGUCUCCAUAUCACACGGAGUACACACCAACGCUGACAAACAGCUCUGGCUAUUGGUUUGGCACCCUCCACCUAAUUCCAUUGGUGAAACAUUUACUGUGGGGAAACAAAUUAAUCGCCUCCUUCUUCUACCUCUAAUGACUGGAAGCUAAACCGUAUUUGUAUCCCAAGCCAUUGAUUAAAGCUACCAGCACUUGUCA